AACGAACGCUGGCGGCGCGCUUAACACAUGCAAGUCGAACGGUCCCGAUAAAGCCGUAAGGUGAUAUCGGGGUAGUGGCAAACGGGUGAGUAAUACGUGGAUAAUCUACCUUUGAGUGGGGGAUAACUUUACGAAAGUGGAGCUAAUACCGCGUAAGACUACAGAAUCGCAUGAUUCAGUAGUAAAAGGCUUCGGUUUACCGGAGUCGCUUAAGGAUGAGUCCGCGCCUGAUUAGCUAGUUGGUAAGGUAAUAGCUUACCAAGGCAACGAUCAGUAGCCGGCCUGAAAGGGUGUUCGGCCACAUUGGAAUUGAGAUACGGUCCAGACUCCUACGGGAGGCAGCAGUGGGGAAUUUUGCGCAAUGGGGGAAACCCUGACGCAGUGACGCCGCGUGAACGAUGAAGUCCUUCGGGAUGUAAAGUUCUGUCAGGCGGGAAGAAUCUUUCCCCGAUGCAAAUCGGGGGAGAAUGACGGUACCGCCAGAGGAAGCACCGGCUAAUUCCGUGCCAGCAGCCGCGGUAACACGGAGGGUGCAAGCGUUGUUCGGAAUUACUAGGCGUAAAGAGCGUGUAGGUGGUUAGCUAAGUCGGAUGUGAAAAUCCCAAGCUUAACUUGGAACGUGCAUUCGAAACUGGUUAACUUGAGUGUAGGAGAGGAGAGCGGAAUUCCUAGUGUAGCGGUGAAAUGCGUAGAUAUUAGGAAGAACACCGGUGGCGAAGGCGGCUCUCUGGCCUAAAACUGACACUGAGACGCGAAAGCGUGGGUAGCGAACAGGAUUAGAUACCCUGGUAGUCCACGCCGUAAACGAUGGGCAUUAGGUGUAGGAGGUAUCCAAUCCUUCUGUGCCGAAGUUAACGCAUUAAAUGCCCCGCCUGGGGAGUACGACCGCAAGGUUG
rnacentral:rRNA from 1 species